CGUACACUCCUGCGGGAGGCAGCAGUGGGGAAUAUAGCACAAUGGGCGCAAGCCUGAUGCAGCGACGCCGCGUGGGGGAUGAAGGCCUUCGGGUUGUAAACUCCUUUCGCUAGGGACGAAGCUUUUUUGUGACGGUACCUAGAUAAGAAGCACCGGCUAACUACGUGCCAGCAGCCGCGGUAAUACGUAGGGUGCGAGCGUUGUCCGGAAUUACUGGGCGUAAAGGGCUCGUAGGUGGUUUGUCGCGUCGUCUGUGAAAUUCUGGGGCUUAACUCCGGGCGUGCAGGCGAUACGGGCAUAACUUGAGUGCUGUAGGGGUAACUGGAAUUCCUGGUGUAGCGGUGAAAUGCGCAGAUAUCAGGAGGAACACCGAUGGCGAAGGCAGGUUACUGGGCAGUUACUGACGCUGAGGAGCGAAAGCAUGGGUAGCGAACAGGAUUAGAAACCCUGGUAGUCCCAUGAU
rnacentral:rRNA from 1 species